CAUCAGUGCCUCACAAUGUCUUCUUCACCUUUGCACACAUUUGGUUUACUCUUCAUCUGGCUUUCAUGUCAGGCGAGCGCUGACGGAUUUCAACAAUCUGCUCCCCAGAUAGUGAAUGAGAGUACUGAGGUCCAGAUAAACUGCAGCCAUGAUGAUGCUAAUCGUCCAGUAAUGCUCUGGUAUCAACAAAGAGAGGACAGUCUGUCUAUGACCCUCAUUGGGUAUGGAUAUGAAAGCAGCCCAACCUAUGAGGGUCAGUUUGAAGAACAAUUCAAGCUGACAAGAGACGGCUCAGUGAGAGGAGCUCUGAUUAUACGCAAAGCAACCCAGUCACACUCGGCUGUGUAUUUCUGCGCUGCCAGUACACAUGUGAACAACUACGAUCCUGCUUACUUUGGCAGUGGCACCAGACUGACAGUGUUGGAAAAAGACCGUGAUAUCACCCCACCAACAGUGAAAGUGCUUCCACCUUCAACAAAGGAGUGUCGAAACCAGAAAGACGGACCAAGGAAGAAGACCAUCGUUUGUGUGGCCAGUGGAUUCUACCCAGACCAUGUCAGUGUUAAAUGGAAGAUCGACGGUAUCAAAGCCACCUCUGGUGUGGCGACUGAUAACGCUGCCCUGCAGGAAGGCGGGUAUUACAGAAUCACCAGCAGGCUGAAGGUCUCUGGAGAAGACUGGUUCACACUCUACAAAAACUUCACCUGUAUCGUCGAGUUCUUCGAUGGAACAGCAACAAUACCUUAUGAAGAUACAGUUCUGGGUGUUGAAGGUGAAGAAGGCGGCAUGACAAGAGAGAAUUAUUUUAAGAUCUCACAGACGGCCAAACUCUCCUACGCUCUUCUAAUCAUCAAGAGCAGUCUCUAUGGAGCCUUUGUGGCCUUUUUGGUGUGGAAGCUUCAGCGUUCAACUGGAAAACGGAACAACUGAGAGCUGAGGCCUGAACAAAUGAAAUCUAUGGGGAACAACAGUGUUGAAUCCUGUAAAUAAAACGUAAAAAAUAAAAA